UGUAGCUCAGUGGUAGAGCAUUUACCUUUCAUGUGUGAAGUACUGGGUUCAAGUCUCAGCA
rnacentral:tRNA from 1 species